rnacentral:rRNA from 1 species
AGUAGGGAAUCUUCGGCAAUGGGGGCAACCCUGACCGAGCAACGCCGCGUGAGUGAAGAAGGUUUUCGGAUCGUAAAGCUCUGUUGUAAGUCAAGAACGGGUGUGAGAGUGGAAAGUUCACACUGUGACGGUAGCUUACCAGAAAGGGACGGCUAACUACGUGCCAGCAGCCGCGGUAAUACGUAGGUCCCGAGCGUUGUCCGGAUUUAUUGGGCGUAAAGCGAGCGCAGGCGGUUUGAUAAGUCUGAAGUUAAAGGCUGUGGCUCAACCAUAGUUCGCUUUGGAAACUGUCAAACUUGAGUGCAGAAGGGGAGAGUGGAAUUCCAUGUGUAGCGGUGAAAUGCGUAGAUAUAUGGAGGAACACCGGUGGCGAAAGCGGCUCUCUGGUCUGUAACUGACGCUGAGGCUCGAAAGCGUGGGGAGCGAACAGGAUUAGAUACCCUGGUAGUCCACGCCGUAAACGAUGAGUGCUAGGUGUUGGAUCCUUUCCGGGAUUCAGUGCCGAAGCUAACGCAUUAAGCACUCCGC